rnacentral:rRNA from 1 species
AGGGCACCACCAGGAGUGGAGCCUGCGGCUUAAUUUGACUCAACACGGGAAAACUCACCCGGCCCGGACACUGGAAGGAUUGACAGAUUGAGAGCUCUUUCUUGACUCAGUGGGUGGUGGUGCAUGGCCGUUCUUAGUUGGUGGAGUGAUUUGUCUGGUUAAUUCCGAUAACGAACGAGACUCUAGCCUACUAAAUAGAUCGUCGGCUUACAAACGCCGGCGAGACUUCUUAGAGGGACAGGCGGUGAUUCAACCGCACGAAACAGAGCAAUAACAGGUCUGUGAUGCCCUUAGAUGUCCGGGGCCGCACGCGCGCUACACUGAAGUGAUCAGCGUGCUUUUUCAACCUACUCUGUCAAGAGUGGGGAACCCAAUGAACCUUCUUCGUGAUUGGGAUAGGGGAUUGUAAUUAUUCCCCUUGAACGAGGAAUUCCCAGUAAGCGCGAGUCAUAAGCUCGCGUUGAUUACGUCCCUGCCCUUUGUACACACCGCCCGUCGCUACUACCGAUUGAAUGUUUU